rnacentral:rRNA from 1 species
GGCCGCGGGAGGAGACCAGCAGGGAUUGCCUCAGUAACGGCGAGUGAAGCGGCAAAAGCUCAAAUUUUAAAGCUGGCACCUUCGGUGUCCGCGUUGUAAUUUUGUGAGGCAUCUCCGGGUAGGGCGCCGGCCUAAGUUCCUUGGAACAGGACGUCAUAGAGGGUGAGAAUCCCGUGCUUGGCUGGCUGUCCCCGUCCAUGUGAGGUGUCUUCGACGAGUCGAGUUGUUUGGGAAUGCAGCUCAAAAUGGGUGGUAAAUUUCAUCUAAAGCUAAAUAUUGGUGGGAGACCGAUAGCGCACAAGUAGAGUGAUCGAAAGAUGAAAAGCACUUUGAAAAUAGAGUUAAAAAGUACGUGAAAUUGUUGAAAGGGAAGCGCUUGAGACCAGACUUCGGUGGGGAGUGAUCAGCUGUCCUUCUGGGCGGUGCACUUGCUCCCCUCCGGGCCAGCAUCGGUUGGGACGGCGGGAUAAAGGUCCCGGGAAUGUGGCUCCUCUCGGGGAGUGUUAUAGCCCGGGUGAAUGCCGCCAGCCCCGACCGAGGACCGCGCCUUCGGGCUAGGAUGCUUGGCAUAAUGGUCUUCAGCGACCCGUCUUGAAACACGGACCAAGGAGUCUAACAUCUAUGCGAGUGUUUGGGUGUCAAACCCUUACGCGAAAUGAAAGUGAACGGAGGUGGGAACCCGCAAGGGUGCACCAUCGACCGGUCCCGAAGUCUUCUGAAGGAUCUGAGUAGGAGCAUAGCUGUUGGGACCCGAAAGAUGGUGAACUAUGCCUGAAUAGGGUGAAGCCAGAGGAAACUCUGGUGGAGGCUCGCAGCGGUUCUGACGUGCAAAUCGAUCGUCAAAUUUGGGUAUAGGGGCGAAAGACUAAUCGAACCAUGCUGGUUUGC